AACUAUUGCUCGUGUAGUGCUUGCAUUGUCGUGUGGUUUUCGCUGCAUGUCUGACGUGUGAUAAUUUCUUCUUUAGGAAGAGCCAAGAAGAAUUAUCCGUAGCCCCCGAGGUGAAACUUUGCAACAUAGUGGAUCGAGAACUGUCAAGGCAUUUUCCAUAGGGCACCGCCAUGACAUAACGAUAGCUUCGUUAAAGUUAUCGCUGCAUCGGUAAUACUUCCUGCACUGAUACGCUCCGAGAAAGAAGCUGCUACAACAUUAAAUGGCUACUGGAGGUGGCAAAGUGGGUGGCGUGGACGGCCGCGUCCUCGACGUCCUUAUGAGGACAGGAGGGGUCCUUGUUUCCCCCCCCUGAGUACUUCCCCGAUAGCGAGGACGAGGCAAGUUCAGAGGAAGCUGCAGGGCCCAGCGGUUCCCGCAGACAUCCACCAGCGACAACUGCUUUCGUGGUGUCGGGCCCUGCAGCUGUUGCUGGGCCAAGUGGCCUUACACAGCCACCGGCUACGCCCCAGGUGCUGCGGCCUACCACCCAGGUGCCGCGGCCUACCACCCAGGUGCCUCAGCCAACCCCGCAGCUGCCUCAGCCAAACCCGCAGGUGCCGCAGCCAACCCCGCAGGUGCCUCAGCCAACCCCGCAGGUGCC